rnacentral:misc_RNA from 1 species
AAAAAAAAAAAAAAAACCAUCAUUUGAUCAGCUUUAUUAGUUUCAGUACAUCCACUCCAAAAAGAUUAAAAUGGGGUUUUCAAACUUCUUUGUGAUUACUGUUACCUAUUUAUGACCAAAACAAGAAACUUGUUCACUCUUGGACCUGUGAUACUUAUAGCUAAUUCGAUGUAGCUAGUGAUCUUUAACAUUGAUUUAAUUAGUCUUUUUUGCUAAUAUACGAAGUAUCCUUUCCUUUUAACUCUUCUAAAUAACAAUUGGCAUACACAUGAUUGCCCUUUUUUCCAAGGAAAAAAAGGUAAAAACUAAAUAUAACAGCCACAAAAAAAUGUGAAAAAGAAACCCUAGGUUUAGAGAUAUACAUAUAGUUGAUGGAGUUUAAAAAUCAACUUGCAUAAAAAAUCCAAAUUGAACAAUGAUCAAAUGGGCAUAAAUACAACUUUGUUAAUAAGACAAAACAAUCAUUGGAUCUUUUGAUCUUGGAGACUUGGACACUAUAGCUGCCAAUGAACAGUCUUUGUUUCUCAU